rnacentral:rRNA from 1 species
AUUGAACGCUGGCGGCAUGCUUUACACAUGCAAGUCGAACGGUAACAGGGUGCUUGCACCGCUGACGAGUGGCGAACGGGUGAGUAAUGCGUCGGAACGUGCCGAGUAGUGGGGGAUAACGCAUCGAAAGGUGUGCUAAUACCGCAUACGUACUGAGGUAGAAAGUGGGGGACCUUCGGGCCUCACGCUAUUCGAGCGGCCGACGUCUGAUUAGCUAGUUGGUGAGGUAAAGGCUCACCAAGGCGACGAUCAGUAGCGGGUCUGAGAGGAUGAUCCGCCACACUGGGAAUGAGACACGGCCCAGACUCCGACGGGAGGCAGCAGUGGGGAAUUUUGGACAAUGGGCGAAAGCCUGAUCCAGCCAUGCCGCGUGUCUGAAGAAGGCCUUCGGGUUGUAAAGGACUUUUGUCGGGGAGGAAAUCCCCAGCGCUAAUACCGCUGGGGGAUGACAGUACCUGAAGAAUAAGCACCGGCUAACUACGUGCCAGCCGCCGCGGUAAAAC